CCUACGGGUGGCAGCAGUGAGGAAUAUUGGUCAAUGGACGCAAGUCUGAACCAGCCAUGCCGCGUGCAGGAAGACGGCUCUAUGAGUUGUAAACUGCUUUUGUACGAGGGUAAACUCAGAUACGCGUACCUGUCUGCAUGUAUCCUACGAAUAAGCAUCGGCUAACUCCGUGCCAGCAGCCGCGGUAAUACGGAGGAUUCAAGCGUUAUCCGGAUUUAUUGGGUUUAAAGGGUGCGUAGGCGGGCGGGUAAGUUAGAGGUGAAAUCCCGAGGCUCAACUUCGGAAUUGCCUCUGAUACUGUUCGGCUAGAGCGUAGUUGCGGUAGGCGGAAUGUAUGGUGUAGCGGUGAAAUGCUUAGAGAUCAUGCAGAACACCGAUUGCGAAGGCAGCUUACCAGGCUACUUCUGACGUUGAGGCACGAAAGCGUGGGGAGCAAACAGGAUUAGAUACCCCAGUAGUC
rnacentral:rRNA from 1 species